rnacentral:rRNA from 1 species
UGGGGAAUAUUGCACAAUGGGCGCAAGCCUGAUGCAGCCAUGCCGCGUGUGUGAAGAAGGCCUUCGGGUUGUAAAGCACUUUCAGCGAGGAGGAAGGGUAGUGUGUUAAUAGCACAUUGCAUUGACGUUACUCGCAGAAGAAGCACCGGCUAACUCCGUGCCAGCAGCCGCGGUAAUACGGAGGGUGCAAGCGUUAAUCGGAAUUACUGGGCGUAAAGCGCACACAGGCGGUUUGUUAAGUCAGAUGUGAAAUCCCCGCGCUUAACGUGGGAACUGCAUUUGAAACUGGCAAGCUAGAGUCUUGUAGAGGGGGGUAGAAUUCCAGGUGUAGCGGUGAAAUGCGUAGAGAUCUGGAGGAAUACCGGUGGCGAAGGCGGCCCCCUGGACAAAGACUGACGCUCAGGUGCGAAAGCGUGGGGAGCAAACA